CGACCGGCGCACGGGUGAGUAACGCGUAUCCAACCUGCCCACCACUUGGGGAUAACCUUGCGAAAGUAAGACUAAUACCCAAUGAUAUCUCUAGAAGACAUCUGAAAGAGAUUAAAGAUUUAUCGGUGAUGGAUGGGGAUGCGUCUGAUUAGCUUGUUGGCGGGGUAACGGCCCACCAAGGCAACGAUCAGUAGGGGUUCUGAGAGGAAGGUCCCCCACAUUGGAACUGAGACACGGCCCAA
rnacentral:rRNA from 1 species